rnacentral:misc_RNA from 1 species
GAUGAAGAACGCAGCGAAACGCGAUAUGUAAUGUGAAUUGCAGAAUUCAGUGAAUCAUCGAAUCUUUGAACGCACAUGGCGCCUUCCAGUAUCCUGGGAGGCAUGCCUGUCCGAGCGUCGUUUCAACCCUCGAGCCCCCGUGGCCCGGCGUUGGGGAUCUGCCACGGCAGGCCCCUAAAACCAGUGGCGGACCCGAAGGCCCUCUCCUUUGCGCAGUAGCAUCAGCCUCGCAUUGGGAUCCCUCGGCGUCCUGCCUCUAAACCCCCCACAAGUCUGCUCCGGCGGCACCAAGGUUGACCUCGGAUCAGGUAGGAAUACCCGCUGAACUUAAGCAUAUCAAUAAGCGGAGGA